UACGUAGGGACCGAGCGUUUGUCCGGAAUCAUUGGGCGUAAAGAGCGUGUAGGCGGCCAUUAAGUCCUGACGGUGAAAUCUUGCGGCUCAACCGGCAAGCGGGUCGUGGGAAACUGGGGUGGCUAGAGGUGCGGGAGAGGAGAGUGGAAUUCCUGGUGUAGCGGUGGAAUGCGCAGAUAUCAGGAAGGAACACCCGUGGCGAAGGCGGCUCUCGUGGAACGCAACUGGACGCUGAGACGACGAAAGCGUGGGGGAGCAAACAGG
rnacentral:rRNA from 1 species